rnacentral:rRNA from 1 species
UACGGGGGGGGUAAGCGUUGUUCGGAAUUACUGGGCGUAAAGGGCUCGUAGGCGGCCAACUAAGUCAGACGUGAAAUCCCUCAGCUUAACUGGGGAACUGCGUCUGAUACUGGAUGGCUUGGAUUUGGGAGAGGGAUGCGGAAUUCCAGGUGUAGCGGUGAAAUGCGUAGAUAUCUGGAGGAAUACCGGUGGCGAAGGCGGCAUCCUGGACCGACAUUGACGCUGAACGGCGAAAGCUAGGGGAGCAAACGGG